GAUGAACGCUGGCGGCGUGCCUAAUACAUGCAAGUCGAGCGAACAGAUGAGGAGCUUGCUCCUCUGACGUUAGCGGCGGACGGGUGAGUAACACGUGGAUAACCUACCUAUAAGACUGGGAUAACUUCGGGAAACCGGAGCUAAUACCGGAUAAUAUAUUGAACCGCAUGGUUCAAUAGUGAAAGACGGUUUUGCUGUCACUUAUAGAUGGAUCCGCGCCGCAUUAGCUAGUUGGUAAGGUAACGGCUUACCAAGGCAACGAUGCGUAGCCGACCUGAGAGGGUGAUCAGCCACACUGGAACUGAGACACGGUCCAGACUCCUACGGGAGGCAGCAGUAGGGAAUCUUCCGCAAUGGGCGAAAGCCUGACGGAGCAACGCCGCGUGAGUGAUGAAGGUCUUCGGAUCGUAAAACUCUGUUAGUAGGGAAGAACAAAUGUGUAAGUAACUAUGCACGUCUUGACGGUACCUAAUCAGAAAGCAACGGCUAACUACGUG
rnacentral:rRNA from 1 species